UUUUAUUUUUUCAAAUUUAAUUUUUUUUUUAUACCAAGUAAUGAAUGCUCAUAUUUUGGGAGUUGCUAUAAAAGUUAACAAAAACUGAGGUCUGGACAUUUUUUUCUCUUGGGCAUCUGUUUAUCUUCAGUUCAUGAUUGUUCCUUCCUCUGAGGGCAUUCUUUGGUGCUUUGUUCAGCACAAGGAGGCUCCUGCCAUUUCCUCUGAGCAAUGUGAACUUGUCUGGAUCUACAAAUGAGCAAAGAGAAAAUGUCUUUCAACCUGAAAAACCCUGCUGUGGUUAUGAAUACUGGGAUUCAUUGCGGGCAUGAAUUGUCUCUUCAGAAUACAGCGGGAGGUCAACAUCUAGCAGAGAAUAUCCAUGGCAGCUAUCAUAAUAAAUUCUCUCCUAAAACAGUGAGGCAGACUUCAAGAUCUGCUCUGAAUCUGGAUAAAAGCAGGAGACAACAACAGCCAACAAUGGAAACUCUUCCACUCACACGAUGUGAGGAUAUCGUGACUUGGCAAAAUCCUGCUUUGUGCUACUUCCUGGAUACUGGACAACAGGACAACUGUGUGAACUGAAGACAAGAUUUAUUAACCCUGAUACUUCAGUAAUCAGUCAAAAUGAAAGGAAGAGAGGGCAGAGAGAGUGAAUGAAAGGGUGAAUAAAACUAGUUCUUCAUGGCA
rnacentral:lncRNA from 1 species